rnacentral:rRNA from 1 species
AGAGUUUGAUCCUGGCUCAGGAUGAACGCUGGCGGCGUGCCUAAUACAUGCAAGUCGAGCGAACGGACGAGAAGCUUGCUUCUCUGAUGUUAGCGGCGGACGGGUGAGUAACACGUGGAUAACCUACCUAUAAGACUGGGAUAACUUCGGGAAACCGGAGCUAAUACCGGAUAAUAUUUUGAACCGCAUGGUUCAAAAGUGAAAGACGGUCUUGCUGUCACUUAUAGAUGGAUCCGCGCUGCAUUAGCUAGUUGGUAAGGUAACGGCUUACCAAGGCAACGAUGCAUAGCCGACCUGAGAGGGUGAUCGGCCACACUGGAACUGAGACACGGUCCAGACUCCUACGGGAGGCAGCAGUAGGGAAUCUUCCGCAAUGGGCGAAAGCCUGACGGAGCAACGCCGCGUGAGUGAUGAAGGUCUUCGGAUCGUAAAACUCUGUUAUUAGGGAAGAACAUAUGUGUAAGUAACUGUGCACAUCUUGACGGUACCUAAUCAGAAAGCCACGGCUAACUACGUGCCAGCAGCCGCGGUAAUACGUAGGUGGCAAGCGUUAUCCGGAAUUAUUGGGCGUAAAGCGCGCGUAGGCGGUUUUUUAAGUCUGAUGUGAAAGCCCACGGCUCAACCGUGGAGGGUCAUUGGAAACUGGAAAACUUGAGUGCAGAAGAGGAAAGUGGAAUUCCAUGUGUAGCGGUGAAAUGCGCAGAGAUAUGGAGGAACACCAGUGGCGAAGGCGACUUUCUGGUCUGUAACUGACGCUGAUGUGCGAAAGCGUGGGGAUCAAACAGGAUUAGAUACCCUGGUAGUCCACGCCGUAAACGAUGAGUGCUAAGUGUUAGGGGGUUUCCGCCCCUUAGUGCUGCAGCUAACGCAUUAAGCACUCCGCCUGGGGAGUACGACCGCAAGGUUGAAACUCAAAGGAAUUGACGGGGACCCGCACAAGCGGUGGAGCAUGUGGUUUAAUUCGAAGCAACGCGAAGAACCUUACCAAAUCUUGACAUCCUUUGACAACUCUAGAGAUAGAGCUUUCCCCUUCGGGGGACAAAGUGACAGGUGGUGCAUGGUUGUCGUCAGCUCGUGUCGUGAGAUGUUGGGUUAAGUCCCGCAACGAGCGCAACCCUUAAGCUUAGUUGCCAUCAUUAAGUUGGGCACUCUAAGUUGACUGCCGGUGACAAACCGGAGGAAGGUGGGGAUGACGUCAAAUCAUCAUGCCCCUUAUGAUUUGGGCUACACACGUGCUACAAUGGACAAUACAAAGGGCAGCGAAACCGCGAGGUCAAGCAAAUCCCAUAAAGUUGUUCUCAGUUCGGAUUGUAGU